UAUACAUCAAAGAUGUUCACUUUGUUAUCUUCCUCCUCCUGCAGCUUCCUGUCUUAAUGUGUAAUAGUCAUAAUGAAGCCUGCCUUCAGCAAAGCAGCACCAGUGUGCACAAGGAUGGAGACAUGUUUUUGAGACAGUGACUUAUUGUGCUGACUAUGCUAGCAGCAAACUCCAGGACUCAAGAAUUCCCUCCACUUCAGCCUCUUGAGGAGCCUGCAUUACAGAUUGCCUGAAUAAACAUAUGAAAAAAUGUUCAACAUCACUGGUCAAGCAAGAGAUGCAAAUGAAAACAAUGCUGAGAUUCCACCUCACUCCAGAAAGAAUGGCUGCUAUCAUGAAAUCAACCAAC
rnacentral:lncRNA from 1 species